GUUGGAACUAGAUAAUCUUUAAGGUCUCACGUAAUCCAAGCCAUUCUAUGAUUCUAUCAUUGCAAAAUACCUAAUGUUUAGGUAUCAUGUUCCUGAACGGUUUAUAUGAUCUGCACCAGUGAUACCGAAGGUUCAUACUCCUGUAGUAAAAAAAAUCCACAAAAUAGUUACCUAAAGCUAAAUGAACUUUUUCUGAGAAAAAUACUUUUCUUUGAAAAGUAAUGGAAGUUUUAUUUUAUCCAGGAUGUAAAUUACCACCAGAACUGGAUGACAUGGGAAGCAGACAGACACAGACAGACAGACAACUGGCCCGUGAUACAAACUUAGUCAGCAGGUCAGAAGUAUCCACUAUAAUUUCUUAAGAAAAGCAAGCAGACUAGAGGUUGAAAGCUCCUAUCAUAGGAUUCACUUUGGAAUAAUUUGCUAUAUAAAAAAGGAAAUGAAAAAAAUAAUCUGAAAAAUUACAGCUGUUCUGUUUCAAAAAGUAAAUACUAACAUUAGAGGGUCCUGAAUAUAUGAAGCAAAUUUUCAUUAGAGAUACUAACAGUACAAAGACAAAUGCAAUUAUUAACAGAUUCUUGUCAUAACAAAGACUCUAUUAAUUGAGUCACUAAGAACCCUGCUAUGAGAAUUCAGAAUUCUCUAAAAAUACUGUAUGAAACAGUUAUGGAGAGCUAACUGCAUUUUCUUUUCUCAAAAUGCAUAUAUUACUGUGUAAGUAAAAUAUGAAAUAAUAAAAUGAGAUGUUUUGUGGUACACAAGGAAAUUGAGAUUCUGGAACAAAUCACACACCAAUUCCAAAGCAAACAAAGUACAUGAUACAAGAAGAGCUAAGACUACUGCAGAAGUACACCAAGGACCUUACUGAACAAAUAACCUCAUAAAAUAUGUUAGAAACUAUGAGAGAAACUGUAAGCAAGAUUGAAAAAGGCCAAGCAGCAAAGAAAAAAAUGGAAGCAAAUGUUACAUGCUGCUAGAAAAAGUUACUCGGACUACAUUAGGAAAAGAAAAAAAAAGCAUGAACUGUCACUCAUGAGCUUAAGCUCAAAAUCAGAUGAUUUCCAAUCAUUCAAACAAGUUGACUACUGGAGUGGUGUGAGCAAGACCUCUUUUAUAAGGUGGCCAUCCAGUUGGCUUGCACAAUGGAUCAUAGGAGCUGCUGGCUGCAGUACCAUAGAAUGGCAACUGGAAAGCCAGUUUUCUUCCACUUCCAUAUUCCUGUAUCUUGUUCUUUUAUGCAAUAUGAACUACAAAAAGGAUAAACUAAUAAUCUGAAAAAGCAGGAAAUACUGGGAUAGUUACUGCAAGGAAGAACACAGCCUUACCCAAUACUCUUUCAAAUUCAUCAUCAUCUACAUCUUCCACACUUUCUUCAUCAUCCUGACGCCUUUGUUUCUCUCUCUUCUUAUCAAACUUUGAAUAAAACCUGAAAUAAUGUAUAGCUCUCAGACACAAUAUUACAGGUGAUGAUCUUUAUGAUAACUUUAAAAAAAAAACACCUGCAGAUUGUUUCCUGUGUAUGCUGCCAGUUGAAAACUGUGAUGAUUUCAAACACACCUAAAAUCAAGAGAUUUAUAUUUCCUUUGUUUUUCAAACAGUCCGUCACUACUGUAAGAUUUAAAACAAUGAAAUUUCACUGGCCAAAGGUGCCAGAAGUUAUUUUUAACAUGAAAGGGCACAAGAAAGAUGUAAAAAUUUGCUGUAGACCAGUAAUGAAGAAGGGAUGAAGUGCAACUUGAAUAUAAUUGGGGAAAAGUAUAAAAGACAUUGACCCUCAAGUUUUAUUACAUUUUCUCCGAUAGCCCUUUUCUUUUGGGUGCACAGUUUUACCUGCUGUCAGCUAUUUUAAAGCACUUUUUCACCUUCAUUUUAUGUUGAAGAACUACCAAACACAGAAGGCAAUUUUGAUCAUAUACAAAAGAGUACUUUGUACAGGUGACUUUAAAUCUGUAAUCUCAGUUUCAGUAAUCUUCAUUGCAACAGUACCGUUAACUUUUCAGAGAGGGGCACAUUUUUAAGCUGCUCUCCUUUAAUCUCGAAAUUAAAACCACUAUUUAUUAAUAAGAUAUUCCUCAAUAUUAUAAUAUCAAUUAAUUAAAAUUAGUAAGUUCCAUUAACCUGACAGUUCAAAAAUGUUUAAAGGUCCCUACAGCAAUGAAUAUAUUAAACAAAACAAACCAACCAAACAAAAACACUCUAAGUGAAUUAAAAAAAAAUAAAUGAAGUUAAUUCAAACACUAAUUUCCUAAGGAGACACUCACAGGUAACCAGUAUUUUGAUCUAAUAAAAAUAAGUCUUUGCCAAAUGUGUAUCACUCCAAUUUUAGUGCUAUAACUGCAUUUGUGUAUCAUACUCUGAAAGGAAAUUCAGAGAAACAGAACUAUGAGUAAUAAAAAAAUAAAUACUCUGAAAAGUA